rnacentral:ribozyme from 1 species
CUGGAACGGACGGCACACUUGGUCCGUGCGAGGAUGCUUCGUGGCCACUUUUUUCAAGUGAUUGGAACGCUCAAGAAGCGGAAACGCUCCAGGGA